rnacentral:lncRNA from 1 species
CAGGUACGAGGUGACUAAGUUCAUAUAUGGAACAUCGUCGAUAAAGUUACCAGAAUGUUUCAUGAUCAACUCAUGGUCAAGGGAAGCAUGGAACAAAGAGUCUAACUGGUUAGGUUAUGUCGCGGUGGCUACAGACGAGUGCAAGGAGUUGUUAGGGAGAAGAGACAUUGUUGUAGCAUGGCGAGGGACUAUUCAACUGUACGAGUGGGCUAACGAUUUUGAUUUCCCACUUGAAUCAGCUAUCUCGGUUUUAUUUAUUUUCUAACCCAGUAUAACGUGCGUAUAUACACUUUAAAGCCUUCAACAUAAGGCAAAACUUAUGUGAAUGUUGUGUAUUCAAGACCAAUACUUCACGCAUUAAUUAUCCAAACAUUUUUGAAAACUCCAACAAAUUUUACAAGGCCACAAAGAGGAGCGGGGGAGGAAGAUUGGAUUCAGAAAGAAAAGUGAAAAUGGUGGAAGAUAUCGCUAAGAGAUGGAAGGAAUUGAGCGGCAAUAGCAAAUGGAAAGACCUGCUUGAUCCUCUUGACUUGGAUCUACGCCGUUACAUCCUCCACUACGGCCACAUGGUUGAAGUCGGGUACAUCACCUUCAAUUGUGGCCGCCUGUCCAAAUACGUAGGAGAUAGCUGCUACACCAAGGAAGAGCUCUUUGCUCGUACCGGCUACCUUAAAGACAACCCUUUCAGGUGAAAACUUAUCUACUUGUAUCAUACGGUUUGAGGAAUUUCGGUUAAAUUUAUAUUCCUAUACCUCUAUAUAAAACAUGUCCAGGUACGAGGUGACUAAGUUCAUAUAUGGAACAUCGUCGAUAAAGUUACCAGAAUGUUUCAUGAUCAACUCAUGGUCAAGGGAAGCAUGGAACAAAGAGUCUAACUGGUUAGGUUAUGUCGCGGUGGCUACAGACGAGUGCAAGGAGUUGUUAGGGAGAAGAGACAUUGUUGUAGCAUGGCGAGGGACUAUUCAACUGUAUGAGUGGGCUAACGAUUUUGAUUUCCCACUUGAAUCAGCUAUCUCGGUUUUACCUCGAGCUGACCCGAGUGACCCACCUCGCAUUGCCAGUGGUUGGCUGUCUCUUUAUACAACCGCUGAUCCA